rnacentral:rRNA from 1 species
CAUCACGUACUGGGCGCAGCUGAUCAGCAUGCCGCGUGCAGGAGAAGGCCUUCGGGUUGUAAACUGCUUUUGUACGGAACGAAACGGUCCUGGUUAAUACCCGGGGCUAAUGACGGUACCGUAAGAAUAAGCACCGGCUAACUACGUGCCAGCAGCCGCGGUAAU